AUACCAGCGCCCCAAGUGGUGAUCGAUUUUAUUGGGUCUAAAACGUCCGUAGCCGGCCCGGUAAAUCUCCGGGUAAAUCGUCCAGCUUAACUGGUCGAAUUCUGGGGAGACUGCCGGGCUUGGGACCGGGAGAGGUCGGAGGUACUCCAGGGGUAGGGGUGAAAUCCUGUAAUCCCUGGGGGACCACCGGUGGCGAAGGCGUCCGACUAGAACGGGUCCGACGGUAAGGGACGAAGGCUAGGGGAGCAAACGGGAUUAGAAACCCUAGUAGUCC
rnacentral:rRNA from 1 species